rnacentral:rRNA from 1 species
CCUACGGGAGGCUGCAGUGGGGAAUUUUGGACAAUGGGCGCAAGCCUGAUCCAGCCAUUCCGCGUGAGUGAAGAAGGCCUUCGGGUUGUAAAGCUCUUUCGCACGGGAAGAAAACUUAUCCUCUAACAUAGGAUGAGGUUGACGGUACCUUGAUAAGAAGCACCGGCUAACUACGUGCCAGCAGCCGCGGUAAUACGUAGGGUGCGUACGUUGAUCGGAAUUUCUGGGCGCAAAGCGUGCGGUCGGAUGUGAAAUCCCCGAGCUCAACGUGGGAACUGCGUUUGAAACUACAAGACUAGAAUAGGUCAGAGGGGGGUAGAAUUCCACGUGUAGCAGUGAAAUGCGUAGAGAUGUGGAGGAAUAUCAAUGGCGAAGGCAGCCCCCUGGGAUCAUAUUGACGCUCAUGCACGAAAGCGUGGGGAGCAAACAGGAUUAGAUACCCCUGUAGUC